AUGAACGUCAGCGCAGUAUAUGGGCUGGGCCGGGCGGGGCAAUCCGUGACCCUGCCCUCCUCUUUCCAUCCCACUCCUCCCUCCACGCCACCGCCGCCGCCUCUCGCACCAGCUCGAUGGACCAGACGCCGCAGCGCCGCCGCCGGAGACUCGGUAAACUGGGAGAUGAUGAGUUGGUCAAACAAGGAAGGUAUCUCCGAGGAAGGGCAACAACGAAUUGAGAAGGUUCGUGAUAAGCUCUGGCCUCCACCUGGUGUAGAAUAUCUUCAAAUUAGUGGGUAUUCUGGCCGGCAACUCCCGAGCUGGAUGGUGUCCACAUCAAUGGUGUCCCUCAACAACUUGAAGACUAUAUUGUUUGAUGAUCUGGCUUGUUGCACACAACUUCCCAAUGGGCUGUGCCAGCUCCCAACUCUGCAGUUUCUACAGGUCUCUCGUGCUCCAUGCAUCAAACAUUUGGGGACUGGAUUCUUGCAGGCGGCAACAACUUCAUUUCCGAGGUUAAACAAACUGAUCUUCAUGAGAAUGGUGGAAUGGGAGUGGGAGGAACUGAGGCAUUUUCCUCCAGGCCUCGCCUCCAAUGCAAGCUCUUUGAAAAUAUUAAUUCUACCAUAUGUCAAGCACCUCAGCUACAUUGAGAGCUUUCCUUCUGUUGUUGAGCUUAUAGUGAAUGGCUGCCCUGACCUGGAGGGGAUCACCAAUCUCCCAAAUCUGCAGAAGCUUACCAUCGACACUUGCCCAAAGUUGAAGGGUUGGAGCAAAUCGCUUCUCUCGAGAGGAUGGCUAUGGUUUCUCUCUGCGGUAGCCUCGGGACAAUCUGGCACUGAGUGGGACAAGUUCAACCAAGUGGAGCAUAUCAAGGCAUAUGCAGGUGAUGGGGAUAACCAAAGAAAAUUCUUGGUGAGGAUCCCAUUUUUCCAAGGUAUGAUGGCAAGGGAUCACAUCUUUGUUGAUGGGAGAUUGUUGUCUUUACAAGAUGGAGUAGCUGUCGCUCUGAGGGUACUGAACUCUGCUGACUCUCCGGUUACCGUAGGAUCCUCUCUUGGUGUGAAUGAGUCAACUGUCUCGCUGGUAUCUCAGGUGUUUGUUGAGGCUAUGUGCCAGCGAGCAAUGCACCACUUGGGCUGGCCAGGCUCUGCUGAAAUGGAGAAGAUCAAGCACAAGUUUCACAAGAUCCAUGGCCUGCCAAACUGUUGCGGUGUUGUACAUACAGCUCACAUCCCGUUUGGAUCAGAAAACCAUGACCAUGAGAAGAGAUACCCUCUCCUCCCCUGGCUUCUCACACCUUACCGCCUGGAAGACAAGGACCUCCUUUCUGCAGAUUUCCCUCCUUAUCAAGCCGAGUUCAACAGAAGACACUCCACAGCAUUAGACAUCACCCUCUCUGCGCUGGGGAGGUGGAAAGACACUCGGAAGAUCCUGGACAGAGGGGUUGUGAUAGACAUGCAGGAGGAGGAGGAGGAGGAGGAGGAGGUGUGCCGGUUAGCAGACGAGGAUGCGCUCAGGAUGAGGGAUAUACUGUCCCGGCAUUUGAUGGAAUCUGGAGGCCACACAAUGGCUGCAGAGGCGGAACAGCAAGCACCAGCAGUUGCAUCUGGUUUAGGAGAUGGAAACCAGGAGCAAGGAGCAUGCCGACGACAAAAAGCAGAUCGAGGGAAGGAGAAAAGAGAAAGCCUCGUCCGUGCCAAGAUCAAACAGCAAAUUCAGGCAGAUGGUGGGGCGGAUGAUACAGUUUCAGUAUCAUUGGGUUUGGCGACGUUGAUCCUUCUUCAUGUAUGCUGGUUGUUGCAUUUGAAUUCAGAUGAAGCCCUCCUCGACGAACAAGACAGUAAUCAGCAGCAAAAGCCGAGGCUUGGGAACGAGGAACAACCAGCAGGAGAGGAAGCGUCUUCGACAUCACCAUGGGCACAAAAGAAAAUAGUUGCAACCUCAUCCAUCUCUGAACGGGGCUCCCUGCCCCCUCGCCUUGGCACGGAAGGCAACAAUCCAUCGGAAGAUGGAGACGCUCCCCCGAGUCCUAGGGUGAAAACAACCGCUGAGACCAACCGGAGUGCAAAAUGA
rnacentral:rRNA from 1 species